UUGGGGUGCUCGAGUGGCGAACGGGUGAGUAACACGUGAGUAACCUGCCCUCGACUUUGGGAUAACUUCGGGAAACUGGGGCUAAUACCGGAUAGGAGCUCCUGCUGCAUGGUGGGGGUUGGAAAGUUUCGGCGGUUGGGGAUGGACUCGCGGCUUAUCAGCUUGUUGGUGGGGUAGUGGCUUACCAAGGCUUUGACGGGUAGCCGGCCUGAGAGGGUGACCGGCCACAUUGGGACUGAGAUACGGCCCAG
rnacentral:rRNA from 1 species